ensembl:lncRNA
GCUUCAUUGGGUCCUGUCCAUUGCAGAAGGUGUCUAUGUGUGUUUGUUUUGUCUUCCAGUCUGCUGGACCAUCUCUAGCUGUAAUCAGCCAAGGUCAAAGAUGAAGGUUUUCGUACAACACUGUGAUAUGCAAGACUGAUGUCCUCAUUUGUUGAGAAAAAAAGAAGCUGCAGAUGCAGUCGAGGAAAAGGGAUCUUAUCAAAGGACUCGGCUCCUUAAGAACAGUGCCAGGAUGUGGAUUCAAUUCUCGUUGCAUCGUCUUCAGAGAGUCUGAGGUCUUGUGCUUUAUGGAAGGCCUUCUACUGAGAGUCAUCACAUCAACUGCCACCAUGAUAUCUGCAGCCAGAGAAAGUAGAAUAGAAAGGAGGUAGAAGAGAGGAAGAGACAUAGAUUAGUAAUUGGUUGUUUAGGGACACAUAAGACACACUCUGAAGUGAGUUUGCCAGUGAUGUAAAGUGAGUCAUGGCUGUUUAGGUUGUUGUAUGUCCAAAAAAAAAAAAAAAAAAAAGUAGGGUGACCACCCUGUGAGUGGGCCAUCAUCCACACCAAGAUUAGGAGUGACAGUGAUCGCCGCUUGGGGUAACACCAUUUUCAGAUUCAAUUAAAUCCACACCACUGGAGAAUACUCGUCAUUAUUGUGAUUAAUGUCCACUACCUAAAAUCCUUCACAAACACCUCUCAAACAAUCACCAAUUGAGAUGAAUGCCAAAAGCAAUCUACACAUGCAUUUUAAUAUUCUUUUCACCAUUAUGUCCUACAAAACAUCUUUGCAUCCAUCCAUUUAACAUGGUACAAUAUUUUUUGACAUUUCUAAUCUAACUGUAUUUCCCCAUUAACUGUCCAAAAAAUCCAAUGAAUUUACCACUGCAGGAUGAAACUUUAGUAUCAAUUUUAGUUGGUUGAUGGAUAUUUCUUUUUUGUUAUUGAAUUAUUUUCAAAAUAAAUCAUACCGAUAGACAGGAUACAAAGUUAAUAGAACUAACUGCAAGUUAAAAUUCCCCCCCAAAAAGAAUUUUCUCAAUUCACCCUCUAUUGGCAGAUUCAGACACUCCUGAUGGCUCUUAAUUAAAUGAAAUGUAUAUGAUAAUCUAGUUUAUCUUACCAUUAGGCAAUAAGAAAUACAUUUACUAAACCA